AGAUGCUUCCUGUUCAGACUCGGCCCCCCCAGGGUCCCCUCGCCACCCGCAGUUCCAAUCCAGUACUUUUGUUUUUUGCCUUUUCAGCCUCCUCGAGGUGGAGUGCCGCCUAACCGGGGGCAUCCCCACUCCUGCCUUUCUGAGUGUGUCACAAGCCACCGAGCCAUGGUCCUCACUCCCCCUCCUCCACCUGCCCCACCUCGCUUCCUUACGGAUUCCGUCCUGAAAGCCCCCGCCCCCGGCCAUCCCCUCCACACAGCCCUGACCAUGACUCCACUUUGCUUCUGCCCUGGGCACUGUCUGCGUCUCCCCAAGGCUGGUCCCACCAGGGACACCCCCUUGCGUGGCUGCCACCGAUCUUGCCUCUGACGUGCCUCCCUUCUCUCGCAGGUACGCCAUCCCACCAGAGCACGGCAAGCGCCUGGAGCGGCUGGCCAUCGGCUUCUUCCCCGGGAGCUCGCAGGGCUGCGACGCCUUCCUGCGGCAUAAGAUGACCCUCAUCUCACCCAUCAUCCUGAAGAAGUACGGGAUCCCCUUCAGCCGGAUCACGCAGGAGGCCGGGGAAUUCAUGAUCACAUUUCCCUACGGCUACCACGCCGGCUUCAAUCACGGGUUCAACUGCGCAGAAUCUACCAACUUCGCCACCCUGCGAUGGAUUGACUACGGCAAAGUGGCCACUCAGUGCACGUGCCGGAAGGACAUGGUCAAGAUCUCCAUGGACGUGUUCGUGCGCAUCCUGCAGCCCGAGCGCUACGAGCUGUGGAAGCAGGGCAAGGACCUCACGGUGCUGGACCACACGCGGCCCACGGCGCUCACCAGCCCCGAGCUGAGCUCCUGGAGUGCGUCCCGGGCCUCGCUGAAGGCCAAGCUCCUCCGCAGGUCUCACCGGAAACGGAGCCAGCCCAAGAAGCCGAAGCCCGAAGACCCCAAGUUCCCUGGGGAGGGUACGGCUGGGGCAGCGCUCCUAGAGGAGGCUGGGGGCAGCGUGAAGGAGGAGGCUGGGCCGGAGGUUGACCCCGAGGAGGAGGAGGAGGAGCCGCAGCCACUGCCACAUGGCCGGGAGGCCGAGGGCGCAGAAGAGGACGGGAGGGGCAAGCUGCGGCCAACCAAGGCCAAGAGCGAGCGGAAGAAGAAGAGCUUCGGCCUGCUGCCCCCACAGCUGCCGCCCCCGCCUGCUCACUUCCCCUCAGAGGAGGCGCUGUGGCUGCCAUCCCCACUGGAGCCCCCGGUGCUGGGCCCGGGCCCUGCGGCCACGGAGGAGAGCCCCCUGCCGGCGCCCCUUAAUGUCGUGCCCCCUGAGGUGCCCAGUGAGGAGCUAGAGGCCAAGCCUCGGCCCAUCAUCCCCAUGCUGUACGUGGUGCCACGGCCGGGCAAGGCAGCCUUCAACCAGGAGCACGUGUCCUGCCAGCAGGCCUUUGAGCACUUUGCCCAGAAGGGUCCGACCUGGAAGGAACCAGUUUCCCCCAUGGAGCUGACGGGGCCAGAGGACGGUGCAGCCAGCAGUGGAGCGGGUCGCAUGGAGACCAAAGCCCGGGCCGGAGAGGGGCAGGCACCGUCCACAUUUUCCAAAUUGAAGAUGGAGAUCAAGAAGAGCCGGCGCCAUCCCCUGGGCCGGCCGCCCACCCGGUCCCCACUGUCGGUGGUGAAGCAGGAGGCCUCAAGUGACGAGGAGGCAUCCCCUUUCUCCGGGGAGGAAGAUGUGAGUGACCCGGACGCCUUGAGGCCGCUGCUGUCUCUGCAGUGGAAGAACAGGGCGGCCAGCUUCCAGGCCGAGAGGAAGUUCAACGCAGCGGCUGCGCGCACGGAGCCCUACUGCGCCAUCUGCACGCUCUUCUACCCCUACUGCCAGGCCCUACAGACUGAGAAGGAGGCACCCACAGCCUCCCUCGGAGAGGGCUGCUCGGCCACAUUACCCUCCAAAAGCCGUCAGAAGACCCGACCGCUCAUCCCUGAGAUGUGCUUCACCUCUGGCGGUGAGAACACGGAGCCGCUGCCUGCCAACUCCUACAUCGGCGACGACGGGACCAGCCCCCUGAUCGCCUGCGGCAAGUGCUGCCUGCAGGUCCAUGCCAGUUGCUAUGGCAUCCGUCCCGAGCUGGUCAAUGAAGGCUGGACGUGUUCCCGGUGCACGGCCCACGCCUGGACUGCGGAGUGCUGCCUGUGCAACCUGCGAGGAGGUGCGCUGCAGAUGACCACCGAUAGGAGGUGGAUCCACGUGAUCUGUGCCAUCGCAGUCCCCGAGGCGCGCUUCCUGAACGUGAUUGAGCGCCACCCUGUGGACAUCAGCGCCAUCCCCGAGCAGCGGUGGAAGCUGAAAUGCGUGUACUGCCGGAAGCGGAUGAAGAAGGUGUCAGGUGCCUGUAUCCAGUGCUCCUACGAGCACUGCUCCACGUCCUUCCACGUGACCUGCGCCCACGCCGCCGGCGUGCUCAUGGAGCCGGACGACUGGCCCUACGUGGUCUCCAUCACCUGCCUCAAGCACAAGUCGGGGGGUCACGCUGUCCAGCUCCUGAGGGCCGUGUCCCUAGGCCAGGUGGUCAUCACCAAGAACCGCAACGGGCUGUACUACCGCUGUCGCGUCAUCGGUGCCGCCUCGCAGACCUGCUAUGAAGUGAACUUCGACGAUGGCUCCUACAGUGACAACCUGUACCCCGAGAGCAUCACGAGUAGGGACUGUGUCCGACUGGGACCCCCUUCCGAGGGGGAGCUGGUGGAGCUCCGGUGGACUGAUGGCAACCUCUACAAGGCCAAGUUCAUCUCCUCCGUCACCAGCCACAUCUACCAGGUGGAGUUUGAGGACGGGUCCCAGCUGACGGUGAAGCGUGGGGACAUCUUCACCCUGGAGGAGGAGCUGCCCAAGAGGGUCCGCUCUCGGCUGUCACUGAGCACGGGGGCACCGCAGGAGCCCGCCUUCUCGGGGGAGGAGGCCAAGGCCGCCAAGCGCCCGCGUGUGGGCACCCCGCUUGCCACGGAGGACUCCGGGCGGAGCCAGGACUACGUGGCCUUCGUGGAGAGCCUCCUGCAGGCGCAGGGCCGGCCCGGAGCCCCCUUCUAGGACAGCUGGCCGCUCAGGCGACCCUCAGCCCGGCGGGGAGGCCAUGGCAUGCCCCGGGCGUUCGCUUGCUGUGAAUUCCUGUCCUCGUGUCCCCGACCCCCGAGAGGCCACCUCCAAGCCGCGGGUGCCCCCUAGGGCGACAGGAGCCAGCGGGACGCCGCACGCGGCCCCAGACUCAGGGAGCAGGGCCAGGCGGGCUCGGGGGCCGGCCGGGGGAGCACCCCACUCAACUACUCAGAAUUUUAAACCAUGUAAGCUCUCUUCUUCUCAAAAAGGUGCUACUGCAAUGCCCUACUGAGCAACCUUUGAGAUUGUCACUUCUGUACAUAAACCACCUUUGUGAGGCUCUUUCUAUAAAUACAUAUUGUUUAAAAAAAAGCAAGAAAAAAAGGAAAACAAAGGAAAAUAUCCCC
rnacentral:sRNA from 1 species